UACCAAGCACCGCCCACCAGCUGCAGCAAACUCUCUCAAUAUAAUAUCUGUAAAACAUGAUAUGAGAUCAUUACAAUACAAGUGAGAACAUGACUACCACAAAUACUUUUACACUGAAUACCUUGUAAGCAAUUUGAUUCUGCUGGCAAAAUAUUAUUUACACAAAUGUAGAUCUCUUCCUGAUUCUGAAGCAUUUAAAGCAUUUUAUAAUCCUUUAGACGUUAAUUCAUUAAAACUACUUGACUCCCUCGAAUUGUAUUUCUCUCUCACUUUUAUAAGACAGGUUGUCCUUUUUAUCAUUUAUUUUGAUUAUUUUACUUCCUAAUUUAAAUGAUUUUGUGACGGCUCCCUUACGUUCCCCACUCUUCAUGUGUCUUCCAUGUCCCCAGUUUGCCUCUCUGUGUUUCCCUUUCAUGUCGUUGUCUCUCUGUGGUUGUGUGUGUUGUUCCUGUCUCCACUCUCCCGGCUCCCUGAUUGCUGCUGAGCUGUUUCACCUGCUCCAAACCAAACACCUGCAAUACAUCAACUCAUCAGCCCUGCAGCAUAUCAACCCUGGCUUUCCUACCAGUCCUCGUCACAUCGUCCCAUCAGCUGUGGUGGAUCAUCAUCUACAGCCUGCCACCUCAUCAUCCUGCCUGCUCUCUCACCUUGCAUUCCAAGUCAGCAAACCUCGCCUUUCCCUCCUCGUUCCCUCACCUCACCAUCUCCAAAUAUUGCUCAACGCUCCCUGCCCUCUGCCUCAAACAGCUACCUCCUCGUGCAUUCCACCUCCAUUCCCCCCUUAUCCCCUUAAAAUAAAUCCCUUUUACUUCACCGA